UGGGGAAUAUUGGACAAUGGGCGAAAGCCUGAUCCAGCCAUGCCGCGUGUGUGAAGAAGGCCUUUUGGUUGUAAAGCACUUUAAGCGAGGAGGAGGCUACUUAGAUUAAUACUCUAGGAUAGUGGACGUUACUCGCAGAAUAAGCACCGGCUAACUCUGUGCCAGCAGCCGCGGUAAUACAGAGGGUGCGAGCGUUAAUCGGAUUUACUGGGCGUAAAGCGUGCGUAGGCGGCUUUUUAAGUCGGAUGUGAAAUCCCUGAGCUUAACUUAGGAAUUGAAUUCGAUACUGGGAAGCUAGAGUAUGGGAGAGGAUGGUAGAAUUCCAGGUGUAGCGGUGAAAUGCGUAGAGAUCUGGAGGAAUACCGAUGGCGAAGGCAGCCAUCUGGCCUAAUACUGACGCUGAGGUACGAAAGCAUGGGGAGCAAACAGG
rnacentral:rRNA from 1 species